ensembl:ncRNA D2030.14 ncRNA
CCCAGAUUCGAAAUUUUUCGAUUCGCCAAAAAUAGGGUACCUGGUCUUAACACGAAAAAUUUUUAUUGAAUGUUAAGAGGUGUGCGCCUUUAAAGAGUACUGUAAUUUAAAAUUCUCGUUGCUGCAGAAUUUUCAUUAAUUUUUUAUAGU